GGGUUCGACAUCAUGACCUGUGAGGAAAAGUUAAAGAAUUGGUAAAGGAUAAACUGAUAAUAUUAACAGUUUUAUGGGACUUAUUUAAAAUUAGAACAAAUAUGUUAUUUUAAUUAACGAAUAAAAGAAUAUGAACAGGUGUAAGCAUAUAAUUGGUACAUGUCACUCAUAUACCAUACCCAAAAAAUAAUUCAUGCACCAGAGAAACUGCCUGUUUUGCUUAUCUCCCUCUUGUUUGCAUAUUCAUAAUAAUCUUCUACCCUUAAUUUCCUAAUCCUGGUUACUGUUCACGGGGCCAUUUUUUUUUGGGACAACUUCUCUUUCCAAUGGCCCAUGUUGUCCAACUGUGAUCAGCAGCCGUUUCCUCUCCCCUCUGUGAUCCUUCUCUACUUCUCCUUCUUUACUUCUCAACCAUCUGUUGCCGUGUUGGUGCAUCGAAGGUCGAUCCCACCUCGAUCAUCCCUUCUACUUCUGUUCAUGCUGUACUUUUCAUUGUUCAUGUAGUAGCCCUAAUCCUCCUUCCGGUUUUCAUGGCUUUUUACCUAGCAGCUUGCGUGUGUAGCAAUCCGUAGGUACCUUCAAGCCACCAAAACCAGCUGGACGUUCUUCUUUACAGCUGGAACUGACAGCCCUUUGAAGCUCUAUGCAGCGGGAGGGAUACAUGGACGAUUAAACUAAGGGUCCUUAGAGCAUGGGACAUGUGCCCAGUUACUGAACCAUCCAAACUAUAUGCAAUGAGUUUGGUGCUGCUUGAUGCGGAGGUCAGUUAAAUGUUACUCUCUUUGAAUAAUUUACUUAUUUCCCAACAAUAAUCACCAGUUCAAUUUUAUUCUCCCCUACCAUUCAAAAUUUUGCUUUAUUUUUUCUUUUUACUUUUUGUUUACACUGAGGACUGAGGAGGGAGUGAAGAAAAAGAUAUACUCUGGUGCCCCACAUUUGAACCUGAGACCUCUGGUGCUAUGGGAUUUGGCUUCAGAUUGGUUUUUUGGGUCUUCACCAUAUGUAAGCCCAAAGUUUUAGGGAAUUCUUCUCAAAUCAUGGUGGAUUUAAGUUGUGGUUCUCUUGUCAGUAACAAGCUUGAGCAACUGACCAUUUCAAGACGUACUGAGACAGAUGAGUCAGCACAACAACAACAACAACACUCAUCUUUUCCGCAGCACCAAAACGAAUCACUUGAAAGGUUGGAUUUGUGCAAUUCAGAAGUUCAAGGAUACCAUAUUCGCUGCUUAUGAACCACUUGCCAAGGCAAAGAAGAACGGGGCACUGGCUAGCUUGAACUUUUUUUAGUAUUGGUGCAUGGAUUCAUAAAGGAUGAGUCAUUUCAAGGUGGCCUUAGGAUUCAGAUUUAUGUUAGGAACCAUAGUGUGAUUCAGAACCUACUCCAAUCAUCCAUUGAAGUUCUAUUUGGUGUUAUUAAAUUUUGUUCUAUCAAAGCCUGAAUAGCAGAAUCAAAGACUACUAUUAAAUUUUCCAUGGAAAGUUAUGAUCCCUAAGUCGUGGUAUAGAAAAUGUGUGAUGUUUUAGAAAGUUGUGAUCUCUUUAGCAUAGGGAGGAACGCAUUCGUGCUAGGGAUCAACUGCGGUUCUACAAGACGCAUCAACCAGACACCUACCGGCUUGAAGUUCGACGCUACUAGAUUAUUAGAUGAUGAGUGUUAUUUAUGUUUGAUUGUGAUGUUUAUUUCAGACGAUGUUUAUUGCUUAAUGUUCGUUCUUCAAUUUUAUUUUUUGUGGUUCA